rnacentral:rRNA from 1 species
CGCGUAGGCGGCUUUGCGUGUCUUCCGUGAAAUCCCUCGGCUUAACUGAGGACGUGCGGAAGAAACUGCGAGGCUCGAGUCCGGGAGAGGAGGGUGGAAUUCCCAGUGUAGCGGUGAAAUGCGUAGAUAUUGGGAGGAACACCGGUGGCGAAGGCGGCCCUCUGGACCGGUACUGACGCUGAUGCGCGAAAGCGUGGGGAGCAAAACGG